UGUCCGUUGGUCUAGGGGUACGACACGCGCUCUGUGUGCACGUGACCCAGGUUCGAGUCCUGGACGGACUA